GUGCUCAGUUUGGCGACACAUAUAUUAAAAGUUGGAAUGAUACAGAGAAGAUUAGCAUGGCCCCUGCAGAAGAAUGACACACAAAUUCAUGAAACAUUCCAUAUUUUU
ensembl:snRNA U6 U6 spliceosomal RNA